AGUUUUUUGUGGUUCAUAAGCAUGAUGAUUGGGUUUUCAUGCUCAUGUGUGAGAUGUGCCUCCCUCAAACCUUGUUACGACGUUGGUGCAUUACCCAUCUGAUG
ensembl:snoRNA